rnacentral:rRNA from 1 species
ACGAGCGGAGGAGCAUGUGGUUUAAUUCGAUGAUACGCGACGGAACCUUACCUGGGCUCGAACGUAAGAUGACUGUAGGUGAAAGCUUACAUCUCUUCGGAGCAUUUUACGAGGUGCUGCAUGGUUGUCGUCAGCUCGUGCCGUGAGGUGUCGGGUUAAGUCCCAUAACGAGCGCAACCCUACCUUUAGUUGCCAUCAGGUAAUGCUGGGGACUCUAAAGGAACUGCCUACGCAAGUAGUGAGGAAGGCGGGGAUGACGUCAAAUCAGCACGGCCCUUACGUCCAGGGCUACACACGUGCUACAAUGGCCGAUACAGAGGGCAGCUACCUGGUGACAGGAUGCAAAUCUCCAAAGUCGGUCUCAGUUCGGAUCGGAGUCUGCAACCCGACUCCGUGAAGUUGGAUUCGCUAGUAAUCGCGCAUCAGCCAUGGCGCGGUGAAUACGUUCCCGGGCCUU